AGCAGAGUGCAGAGGGCCCAGGUGUGACUCAUCAGGCUCGUUAAGAAGUGCUCUUAAGGAGCAUGCUGUCGACUGCUCGUCGCCUGAGUGUCCCUACCAGUGUGAUCAUCUCCACGGUUGUGCCUCUAGCUCCUCGAUCUUGCUCCUUGAUCUUGCUCCUAGUUCUCGCCUUGCUCAUCCACGCCACGCUCUUCAGAUUCCUCUGAUUACUUCCACCGAUCACCACCAAGAUCCACCCCGUCCUGGCUGAACUCCUCACGCCCCACCACUGCUGCCCCGCUCCUGGCUCCGAUCAUUCCGCUCUACCUCACCGCAGCUCCUCCAAUAAACACUCCUAACUCAUUCUGGA